rnacentral:tRNA from 1 species
GAUGGUCAGCUAAAAAAGCUUUCGGGCCCAUACCCCGAACAUGAUGGUUAGAAUCCUUCCCGCAUCA